rnacentral:lncRNA from 1 species
AACAGUACUUCUGCACGGCCAUGGUUCUUUAAUAUGAGGUAUGUGUCAGAGAGAGGGGAAAUUUACCUGAGAGCAUCCAUAAUUGGGUAUUGAGUUCCUGCAUAAUAGAGAAGCCGGAAGAAAUAGCAAUUCUCAAAUGAUGCAGCAUACUCCAGUCUCUUGUUUCGUCCCAUAGUCUUCAAAACAAGUUUCAAGAUAAAGAGAAUCAGUUCAAAUCUAUAUCCAUUUUGUUUCCCCAUAUUAACAUUGUACUUACUUGCAUGAUACCACUGGAACUUGGUAAAUCCUGGAGAAAAAGUGCCAUGCUCAUGAGAAAGAGGCAAAUCAUUUGUUGCUGACUCUGCUAAAACACUGGAUGCAGGUCUGCAGACAAAAUGUUAAGUGAUGGAUUAAGAAUGGUAAUAACAUGCAAGCAUUACUCUGAAGAAAUUGCUCAGUUUCUUGGGGUCAUUUUAUACAAGAUUUUGGCUGAUUUUGUUUGAAGAAUAGCUUACCUCUGUGACUCUGUAAAACAAGGAAACAUGACUGAGAGAUGAUUACUACUAGUCUGUUUUUGUACUGAUCAAAUAAUGACCAGCUGCUGGAUAUGGCUGCAGCCUCACUUGUAGGACAUUAUCUGACAGAAACGUGGAUAUUUAUCAACAUUCAUUAGCUAAAUAUCUCACUAAGUGCAAUUAGAGUCAUAACCCAAGCAAUGAAAGUGUUCAACUCAACAGAAAAUUUCGGGACAAACCUUAAGCCUAGGAUUGAUGAGGAUGACUGGACGCAUACCAGCAGAUUCAGUCAUUCCCCUGAGAUCCUGCAAUCUCAAAAUCAAGUGGUGCUUAACCAUAUAGUUGCAGCAUAUGUCAUAAAAUGGACAUAAUUGCGAAAGGAUUAAGGAAACACUUGCUAUCAAGCUCUUACAUCGAUGAUACAGUUACCCACAGCAUUUUGAGGACCACUAAGAUAAAAAUGUCAUCUUGCUCGUCAACCUAGAUUUAAGGCUUAGUAAAGUUACACAUUGUGAAAUGAUUGCCCAAUGAAAUGGCUCUUAAAAGCGACAUAAGCUAAUGAUAGAAAUGCUGCUAUGGAUCAGAGGUGGAAUAGCAAUUUAACAUCCAAUGCAUCUAAUGCAACGACCAUCUGAGCAUACGAGAUUGAUAUAUGAGCCCUCUCACUAUCAUAAACAUUUAAAUUUUAAGGCCCCAUGAGUCAAAAAAGGAAGAGAACACAAGGUUGAAAGUUGAAAGUAUGCACUAAUCACAUGUUGGGCAAAUUCCUGCAUGGGGUUGGAAGUCCCACACCAUGUAUACUUGCAUUCUUUAGAGUCUACAUAUUUGGAUCUCUGCAAGUAUUAUGACAACAACCACCUUGUCCGCCAAUGACCAAAGAGAGAAGUAGUCAAUGGUAUGAUCAUCUAUUUUAGAUAAACUCAAUUUCCCCGACCAUAUACCUAUAGAUCCAAUCUUGACAAAGGUUCCUAAUGCACCAUGAUCUCCCCAAUCUAUAAACUCCAAUAUCUUGCGACUACCAGCAAGCUGCAGUGGCAUUUCAUUAAGAGCACCUUCUCCCAUGGACGCUUGAACACAAACCUGCAUGAGAUGAUUUUCUAACAAAUAUGAAUAUAAACGGGUAACCAACACCAAAUCUUACUACAGGAGAGGCAAAAGAACUAAGUCAGAUUUACCUUAACACGUUUUCCAUCAAUGAAAGAGCAAUAACUCUGACAAGUUCCAUCAGAGUACCUAUUCUAUAAACAUCCUGUCCAGAUUGCAUCACUAAAAUAUGGUUAAAUUCCUAUUAUCUGUUUGACGAAGGACCAAAUGUUCUCAUAUAAUCAUCUUACCAUUUCUGGGUUUAGCUCUGGGCUAUUGAUUUCUACCUGAAAUGUUCACGAGAAGAGCAGCAUGAGUUUGGCUUUGGGAGUAACAUGCAUAUGUUGAUGAGGAAAACUGUAAUAAGAUGAAACAGGGUAAAUCUGUUCGAGUAGGAAGUUCCCCUUAAAUUUCCAGCUUUGGAUUCUUUCUUUAUCAGUAAAAAGAGGAUCAGCUUGAUUUUAAGUUUUUGGAAGUCAUGAUUGUGGAACUAUAAAAACAAAUAAACAUAUAGACUUAGGAUAUCUAAAUCUCUCGUUAGUAUCUUUCUUCAAGUAAUUCAGACCAAUGAAAACAGUAUCAAAGACGAAUAUCCUACCUUCAGUCUUGUUUUUCCAUCAUAUAUGGCUCUCUGCGUAGCUUGAAGCACAUCGUCAUAGAAAUAUGUCCUGAUUCCUCUAGAGUAAGGAAUAUUAUUUAACCUAGUAGGUAUUCCCUGCCAUUUACCCUAUAGAAUGCUAAAGCAAAAUAAGGCAAGAAUAUAGCGCAGAUAUUAAUGAAAACUCUGCAGAUCCAUGAUGUAGCUUUCAAACUAGGGACAAGGAUAAAUGUAUAGUAUGCUGAAGUACCUCUUUUUUAGUUGCCUGAUUUGAUGGCUGUGAGAUCAGAUACAGGGUUCCCUGAAAGAAAUGUCACAGGCUUACAAGACAUUGGGAUUAAGAAAAUCGACAUUCAUGAACAUCAACCCUUUUCUUUGGAUAGAAACCUCACAAAAGGACUUGUCUCAUCCAAGAUAAUAAUUGUCCUACAAUACAUUCCUUACCAGUCUUUCGACAGUACUUCCUUCAGUUAAGCAAAACUAAUGCUUUGAAUUGUGUUUCUAGAAUUCCAUGAGAAGUAACUCAUCCUUCGAAUCAUUUAAAGUUGGCUGUACUUUCCGAAGCUUUGCUACUUAGUUGCUAUUGCUAAUUCUACAUCAACACAUCCUUUCAGUCAAUGAGUGGAAGUCAGUAUCCUUCAUUUCCCUCUAAAAAUUGGUGGCCUCACACUUCUAGGAAAAGAAAAAUAGACUCACGAUUGAAGUAUCAAAGGAGAGCGAUCCCAAUUGCACUUCGGAUGAUAUUACUCAUACCUAGUUUUGUUGUUUUUGCUUUAUCUUUUUGGAUCCUUGACGGCAGUGAGUCUACUUCACUGAAAACCACAUCUUUGGGCGAUUUCCAUCAAUCUGCACUCUCCAAAAUGCAAUUCAUCACAGGCUGUUACCAAUUGCCAUACAAUUCUUAAUGAGAAGUGGAAGAAAGGGUCAGUUGAGAGCAAGGGAGGACCUUAUUCAGUAUACUCAAAUAAGUCGAUAAUAUAGCCUGAGCAUUUUGCUUGUAUAUUCCAAAUGUGACUUCACCUAAUGCGGAAAUCAAAAGUAAAAUUACACAAAGGAAAUGUUGGUAGACAACCAAAGGUAGCUAAUCAGGCCUAUGUACUAAUUAGAAAGUGACAAUUUUCAGGAAGCAUAAGCAAGCAUAUAUGUCAUAGACUUCUAGUCACCAAUAGAUGUUAAUGUUUCUCAUGCAGAUAUUUUGAUUGUGCUGUGAUUCUGGUGCAAGUUGAAGAUAACGUUUGAUUCCGAUGGAAAUUGGAAUAGCUAACAGUGGACUAGGUCAAUACUAAUAAGCACAAACCUAAGUUCAAUAUGGGAUAUAGAAAAUGAAAAAUUAAGGUGGAAAAUGAUGACAUAUUAAGUGAAAAUAUUUUGAUUGGAAAAUGAUUAAAUUCGACCUAAUUAUUUUAUGAAAUGGAAAGAAGACAAAAAGAGAUUAUUGACCUUUUCCUCUCCUCUUUCAUCAGGAAAUUUAAAAUUUUGGAUAUUAAGUAUUUUGGCCCAAUGUAAAAGAUACAAAUUAAAGAAAAGAACUAGAAAAUCCGAAUUUAAGUUGUACGGGCCUUUUGGUCCACGAAAAUUAUUUUCAUGUUCGAUUUCAACGUAAAGGAAACUGAAAUUUUCUGACCCAAAAAAAAAAAAAAAGAAAAAGAAAAAAAGAAUCUGAACUCCCUUAUCAUUUUUACGAUUUUUUUUUUCACCUGUGGAGAACUUCUUUGAUUUUUCCCCUGAAGCAUCGCGUCAACUUCCACGCCAGAUCGACCACCAAAAGAAAAAAAAAAAAAAAAAAUCCAGGCCAGCGUCUCCAUUCCUCGAACUAAUUCAGAGACAAAAGUACAACAGCAGGCUAUCAAGAAAAAUCGUCUUACCAAAUUUAUGAAAUGCUGAUGAAAUUGGCAAUACAUCUCGACAAAGAAUAGCGUGACCUGCUUCUAUCUAACUUCGAAAGGAAAGGCGAGUCGUUCCGACAUCGUCGCCGAAGUGCUUGACUUGUCGAAGCAUUAUUUUCAUCAAUCAAUUGCUACUCUGCUGCAGCGGUGCAAUGAACAUACGAGAUUCCACUGAGUUGCAUCGCUGAACGUCUUUUAGAGUCUAGACGCCUUGGAGUCCUGGAGCUAUGUGACCUCCACAAGUUCAUGCGAAAUUCAACCCCAUCGUUCCGUUGGAUUUUCGAAAUUCGACAGUUAUGGACGGUUUGCUGAGGCCUUGCAGUUGAAUCCCUCAUUUUAACACAUAUCCGACUUUCUCUAGGCCCUGAACAUCACGAAGCUUCGAACAUCCCAAGAUCUCCAAAUAGGUCAGGUUAUUAAAGCACGAGAGGUCUGGUAAUGUUUCAAUGGAUGUGCAGCUCUGGAUAAUCAGGAAUUCCAAUGUUUUCAACCUCUCAAGGCCUUUAAUUUCAACUAUAUUGUGGCAAUGAUAAGCGUCUAAUCGCUUCAGAUGUGUCAAUUGUGAAAGAUCUGGUCUUAUAAGGUUUUCACAACCACUUACAUCCAGCUCUUCCAAGUUUUUCAAUCUAUCAAGGCCUCGAACUAGAUCAUCAUUCACUAAGGAAGAACUCAUAUUCAAGUAUCUCAAGGACUCUGCAUCUUCAAGGCCGUCGAAUUUGGAUAAGUUCUUGCUUCCAAGAACACUCAGAUGUACUAAGAAUUUUAAUGCUUCUAGACCAUUGAUUUCUGUCAGCUCUCGGCAGUUUUUGAUAUUUAACUGUGACAGCAAUUUCGGACUAGACAAAUUUGGCAACUCUUUCAACUUAUUACAGCCGUGGACAAAAAGCUUCGAUAUUGCUGAGGGAAGCUCAGGCAUGGAUUCUAACAAUUUGCAAUCGUAAACAGUAAGCUCUUUUAGAUGGAUUAGGUGAGAAAGUUGAGGCAAUGCGUGAUGUUGACAAGUGACUUCUAGAACUGUUAAACCACCGGGAAGUUUUGGUAAUGACUGAAGUUCAUAACAACCAAUCAACUGAAGGUGUUGCAGAUAAGGCAUCUUACUCAUGCUUUUCGGUAGAGAUUGAAGCAUCUUGCAUCCGCAUAAGUCUAGUUUUUCAAGGCAAGAAAGCUUAUCGAAUGUGUCAGGGAAGCCAGAAACGUUCGUCCCACUUAAUACAAGAAUCUUCAGUGAAGACAAUCCAUUUAUAGGAAUUUCCCCUCCUAGACUCCUGCAAUGCGAGGCAUGCAAUUCUUCAAGGUUGCCCAACUUUCCUAUUGUACUCGGUAAAUUAUUCAAUUUACUUGUAAUAUCCAAAAUUUUCAAGUUUUUCAAAUCUCCAAUGGAUUCAGGUAAUUCUCGAAUGUCCUUACAUGUCAAUUCCUUUAUAUUCAUCCGAUUCAAUUUCCUAAUUGAAUAAGGGAAGUGAUUUCUCGAAAUGUCAAUUAGGGUAACCCAAGGAGGUGUAUCCUCCUCCUUGCCUAAUGAUAGGUGUCGCAAUUUCACAAGGGAUCCAAUGCUCUCUGGAAGUCCAACUAAUGAUUUGCAACCACGGGCGUGAAGUAUCUCCAACUUCUUCAAAGAACCUAUAUCGGGAGGAAUUUCCUCCGUAGCAGUAUUGUCUAUGUUUAGUUCCUUCAGUUCUUCCAAUUUGCCUAUUUCUUUGGGUAGCACUCGGAGUUUCUUACAUCCCGAAAUGUCCAAAGAAAUGAGGCUCUUCAAAGAGCCUAUCCAUGGAGGAAUUUCCUCUAUAGCAGUCUUGCUUAUGUUUAGUUCCUCAAGUUUUUCCAAUUUGCCCAUUUCUCUAGGCAGCACUUGGAGAUUAUGACAUUUCGAUAAGUCCAAAGAAACAAGGCCCCUGACUUCUCCAAUAGAAUGGUGAAUUUGCUCCAGAUCAAUACAUCCUUCAAGGACUAAUAUCUCUAAAUUUUUUAAGGUGGAGAGAUCAGGACUAACCUUUAAGCGAUUAGAAUGUCGGAGAUUUAGAACUUUCAACUCCUUCGCCACCUACAAAUAAAAUGACUAAUGAAUUUUUUUUAUAAGAGUAAGCCAUUAGAAACAAAAGACAACAUGCUCUCCUCUGACCUUGAGAUGACUCCAACCUUCUGAAAGCUCUAAAUUCCAUGAUAAAUCAAGUAUGACUAAUUUCUCUAGACUAAAACUAGCAGCCCAGGAUGCAUUCCACUUGCGGCACUCAAGCCAUCGCAACUUAGGAAGCAAGCUUUUGGAAUCUCCAAUUAGUAUAGAAAAUAAAGGCACUUGAAGGAACCUUAAGUUCGGUAGCGUCUCCAAUUGGUUAGUUGUGAAUUCAUCGAGUAAGCUUACUCCGUCAAGACGAAGGGCCUGAACGUGAAGUUUUUCAAUUCCCUGCACAAAUGUUGCACCAAAUCAGCUAACAGUGGAUUGAUAUCAUUUUGCCUUCGUUCUAUAGGGGCGAAGUUGGCACUUAGAUCAGACCAAAUUAUAUCAUGUGGCUAGGUAUUAUUUUCUUUUUUGCCCUUAAUGAAUGAUAUCAUGUAAUCUUUCCCUAUGAAUUUACUGCAAAACACAUUAAAUAUUAAUCUUAAUGUCUUCCCUUCUUUGGUUUGUGCUAUCUCUCCCUUUUUCUUCUCUUAUGUGAUUAGAGACUUAGUGCAAUGUGUCAUUUCGGGGAAUAAGCACGAUGGCUCGACUAACGACUUAGAAUUAAUUGAUACUAACACACACCGAGUGCACAAGUAACCACUAAUGAGCUAGGAGUUUAAUGUCUAAGCCCAAAACUUUUCUUUCCUUAACUUGAUACGAAAUGUUUACCACGUAUAGAUGCUAAGCAAAUUUCAUCCUAACCACAUCAAGGAAAUAAUAUAAGGAGAAUAAUCUCAGUGGUGAGGUCUAAAAUUGAUUCCAAUUAGAGGAAUUCGUGUAAAAAAGAGAGUAGUGCAACAAUAGAGGAAACAAGUACCUUAUUUCUCUGAAGUACUUCCAAGGCUUCCUCAUGGAACCACACCCUACUUCGGUUCAUAGGCACAAUGUAAUCUUCUUGACGAACAAUUUCCCUACCAAGGUCUCUCAAUUGGUCAUGCAUUUUCAGCUCACGGUUAUCUCCAAUUUUUAUUAGCGACAUAAGCCUCAGUAUUUCAAUCCCCAUUUUUGGAGAAAAACCACAGGCAUCCCACAUGUAGGAUGCAAUUCUUAAAUCAGUUCCAAUAAAGAAACAAGCAAUAUCCAAAAAUAUUUGUUGUUCCUCAUAGUCCAGUGCGUCAUAACUUAUCUUCAGCUUCUUACGCACUUCUUUAUGUGGUACUUUAUUUAACUUUUUCAAUGUGUCUCGCCAUAACGAUUUGUUUUUCCCACACAAAAAUGAGCCUAUAACCUCGAGAGAUAAAGGAAGCCCUCCGGUAGUGGAUACGAUAUCAUGAGACAAAGAUUCGAAUUCAUGUGGAGGAGAGACCCUCCUAAAAGCAUGUCUACUAAACAAGAUCAAAGACUGAUCCUUAGCCAUUCCAUUGAGUUCGUGGCAGUUCACAUUAGCAUCAUCGAGAAUAGACUUUCUUCUUGUGGUAAUGAUCAUUCUACUUCCCCUCUCAAACCAAUCACCUUUCCCAAUUAAAGCUUUUAGUUGAUCAUGGUUAUCCACAUCAUCUAAAAGAAGUAGGACUUUCUUAUGUUUAAAUCUGGAUUCCAUAAUCCUAAUUCCUUCAUCCUCAUUCGACACUCUAUCCUCUCUUCCUAGUAUAUCCCUUAUUAAUUGCUCUUGCAAACAUGAAAUGCCCUUGUGUUGUGAGGAUUCUCGAAUAUCUGUAAUGAAACUACGAUGCUGAAAUUGGUCGGAGAGCUUAUUGUAAACGACCUUGGCUAAAGUUGUCUUACCAAUACCCCCCAUUCCAUGGAUGCCGACAAUUUGGGUAGAAUGGUGGUUAUCAUCCAGCAAUCUUAGAAUAUUUGCCACAGUAUCAUCAAUUCCGACAAGUUGUUCGGUAACAACCAGUUGAAAGGCCUCUUUUAACUUGCUCAAAACUGUUCUGACGACCAUUCUCACCAAUUCUCCUUCACGGCUGUUUAUAAGAUUCGAGCUAAAAUGAAUUAGAAGAACAAUCAUAUCCUGUUGUAUCUUAUUAUUACCACACUACAGCUUACAAGAGCUAAAAAAGCAAGCACAAGUUGUGAAACACGAGAUAGAAUAGCUUUCUCUACAAGCAAGAUCCAGUUGAAAGAAAUUAAAUAAGGUUUGUAUAGAAAUUGAAAUACCCGUUAGCAAUUUUCUCUGAUUCCCAUCCCUUCAAGGAAGCCACUUCUUGGAGCGCUUCUUUCCAUUUGGCAACGUCUUCCCUAGAAUACUUCCCUCUUAAAUGGGAGAAAGCCUCUCGAAAGCUCCCUUUCUGAUGUCGUACAUCAGCCGGUUCAACCCGGUAAAAUAUGGGCAAGACAACUUGCCCGGCGUUCUUCAUGCACUCAAUCAUUUGAACGAGCUCUUGAAGGCACGCUUUGCUCCAAGCAUAGUUUUGAGACAGAACUGGGAUGGAGAUCUUACUAUUCUUAAUGGCUGUGAGAAGGUUGGUGCUGAUCUCCUCACCUUCACAAAGCUCAUCGUCGUCUUUGAACACGCAAAUUCCAGCAUCGAUGAGGUUGUUGUAGAGGUGAUCCACGAAGGUGUUGCGAGUAUCUGUACCUCUGAAACUCAAGAACAUGUCGUAGCCGUUACUUCCUUUUGGAGCGGCGGACAAGCUAGCCGCAGCAAUAUCAUCUGCUUUUCGACCUUUGCUAUCCUUGUUGCUCUGGACAAAUUUGGAUGCGGACGAGCUAGGCGCAGCGGUAUCAUUUGCUUUUCGACCUUUGCUAUCUUCGUCGCUCUGGGCAAAUUUGGAUGCGAGACGAGGGAAGAGACGUUUCAUUUUUUGCUCUUCCAACAACUCUUGAACCGAGUCUCUCUGCUUAUAUGAAAGAUUAAAAUGCCUAAUUUCGGGCUCUGCGCAAGAAGGUGACCAUGCGGAGCUGAGUUUUUGACAAUUUCUACUUCAAGAUACACAUGGAUCAAGAGGGGAAAAAGAAGAAGACGAAUUAAUGAAGAAUGACCGAGAGCUAGUCGUCGGGAGAAGAGGCUCGACUGGGGAAGUGGGCAUCCUUCGUCCCAGAAAUCAGAGUGGGGAAGGACGGAGCCUCCUGCUCCACCUCAGACUCCAGCGACGCUUGGCCAACCUCAUCAAAUUGCUCUACUCGAGGAAUCUCAAGUUGUUCGUCGCUUAUCAUUAAGCUCGUUCGAUGAGAAGGGGAAGCACUGUUCUCCCGAAGAGAUGCCUUUUUCCAUGUUCUUAUCAGCCAAUGGGUGUUCACCUCGUAUAAGCCCACGAAUCUUUCAUUGAACGGAAUUAUACGGUUGUCAUUUAUAAACUGUGCAUGUUUAUCAUCUAAUAUGUUGCUUGUUCCGCUUCAGUCGCAACUUCAGCCAAAGCUAAGAACUCUUGUUCACUCUAUCAUUUGAUUGGAUUCAAAUCCUCCCUUCUCACAUCAUAGCUUCUAAUCACGCUUGACUUGACGAAGAGCAUCUGCCUUGUUUCUUAGGCCUUAAUAACGUAAAAAAUUAUGGAUUAAUUUUAAUUCUUUGUAAAAAUAAUUUUCUGUAAAUUGCAUCAAAUAUAGACAUUAAGAUUAGCAUUACUAGCGUUAAAUAUUAAAAAUAUUUUAAAAAAAUUAAUUAGUUUAAAAAAUUCAAAAAAAAAUUAUUUAAAAAGUUAAAAUUAAAAUUAAUUAAAAAUAUGAUUAUUUAUUAAAAAAUCAAAUAGGGCCCGGUCAGGGCUGGGCCUACCCGGGCCUCCUUCUUUGUGCCCCGCUCUUUUCCCCCCGCACAAGGCGGGCCCACUCUUCCCUAGCCCGGCCCGCUCAUCUCUUCCUUCUUCCUCCUCCUUCGCGGCUCAACUUGAGGCUGUCCAGCAGAAAAACCAGAGCUAAGUCUCCUCUGUUUUUCUCUGGCUUUUGAUUCUGGCUCAAUCUAUAGUGCUGAACUCUCGGUUUCGUUCUCGUGUUCUCCGAAAUUCCGUUUUCCAUUCUGGAGUUCAUCUUCACGGACGUGUUCGUACCCUCCUCCGACCGAACUGAAGAUUAUGGCAAUGGAUUAAAGCCAAGUGAUUCGCGUCCUUCCUCUGGUUUCAAUCAGCACAGAUUCCGCAUUGAUUUUACGUGUGUUUCUUGUAGAACAACAGCUCCAUCACCAAUGAACGUCAGACAAAUCUGAAGGUUAGUCAAACUUGCUUAAACUUCAUCAAACAUGCUCGAUUGUUGCUGAGGUUUUUUCGAUUUGUACUUAGUGUGAUCAAGAUUUGUGUUAAACCUUGCCGAUAUUCGAAGAUUCUCACCUUUGAAGUUAGCCAACAAUCUCCUUGAAAGAACAGAUAAACAAUUUCCGGAGAGUACAGAUGUCUUGACAUCUACAUCAUUGAUGGUUUUGAACACCAUCGAGAAUCAUUUUUUUCAUGCAUCCAGAAGAAAAUGCUUACUUCCACACAGAAUUUUCAUUCUGAGAAAGCUUCGCAAAUCUUCUGCGUUGUCCUUCUUCUUUGGCUAGGCAAGGGAAUGGAAAAAGCAGAAAAGGCAAGACCUCUGGUGGUAAGGAUGGGCCACCCCCGAAGCCAAAUCUUGAUUGAUUCUAGUUUUAUUGCAUGUAAAUUCAAUCAGCGCUUCUGCAAGGCGAUGACUCUAGCAAUGAGAUGUGUCAGAGAUAAGGGAAAUUUACCUGAGAGCACCCAUAAUUCGGUAUUAAGUUCCUGCAUAAUAGAGAAGCCGCAAGAAUAGCAAUUCUCAAAUGAUGCAGCAUACUCCAGUCUCUUGUCUCGUCCCAUCGUCUUCAAAACAAGUUUCAAGAUAAAGAGAAUCAGAUCAAAUCUAUAUCUUUUUUGUUUCCACAUGUUAACAAUGUACUUACUCGCAUGGUUCUAGCAAAAAAAAAAAAAAAAAGUACUUACUCGCAUGAUACCACUGCAACCUGGUAAAUCCUGGAGAAAAACAGCCAUGCUCAUUAGAAAAAGGCAAAACAUUAGUUGCAGACUCUGCUAAAACACUGGAUGCAGGUCUGCAGACAAAAUGUUCAGCAAUGGAUUAAGAAUAGUAGGAACAUGCAAGCAUUACUUUGAAGAAAUUGCUCAGUUUCUUGGGGUCAUUUUAUACAAGAUUUUGGCUGAUUUUGGUUUGGUUUGAAGAAUAGCUUACCCCUGUGAGUCUGUAAAACAAGAAAAAAUGACUGAGAGAUGAUACCUAUUAGUCUCUGUUUUUGUACUGACCAAAUAAUGACCAGCUGCAGGAUAUGGCUGCAGCCUCACUUGUAGGACAUUAUGGGACAGAAACGUGGAUAUUUAUCAACCACUCAUCAGUUAAAUACCUCGCUAAGUGCAAUUAGAGUCAUAACGCAAGCAAUGAAAGUGUGACCUGCUUUUAUCUAACUACGGAACUAAUAAAAAGACAAAAGUACAACAGCAGGCUCUCAAGAAAAAUCGUCUUACCAAAAUUACGAAAUGCUGAUGAAUUCGGCAAUACAUCUCGACAAAGAAUAGCGUGACCUGCUUUUAUCUAACUACGGAAGAAAACGCGAAUCCUUCUGACAUCAUAGCCGAAGUGCUCGAUUCAUCGAAGCAUUAUUUUCAUCGACCAAUUGCUUCUCUACCGCAGAGGUGCGAUGAACAUCCGCGAUUCCACUAAGUUGCAUCGCUGAAUGUCUUUUAGAGUCUAGACGCCUUGGAGUCUUGGAGCUCUGUGAUCUCCACAAGUUCAUGCGAAAUUCAACCCCGUCGUUCCAUUAGAUCUUCGAAAUUUGACAGAUGUGGACAAUUUGCUGAGGCCUUGCAGUUGAAUCCCUCAUUCGAACACACGUCCGACUUUCUCUAUGCCCUGAACACCACGAAGCUUCGAACAUCGCCCGAUGCCCAAAAAUUUCAGGUUAUUGAAGCGCGAGAGGUCUGGUAAUGUUUCAAUGGAUGUGCAACCCCCGAUAUUAAGCCAUUCCAAAAUUUUCAACCCCUCAAGACCUUUAAUUUCGACUAGAUUGUGACAGUCCCGAGCACGUAAUCUCUUCAAAUGUGUUAAUUGUGAAAGGUCUGGUCUUAUGAGGCACUCACAACAACUUAUAUCUAGCUCUUCCAAGUUUUUCAAUCUGUUAAGGCCAUGAACUUGAAAUAGGUCAUCAUUCACUAAGGAAGAACUCAUAUGCAAGUAUCUCAAGGACUCUGCAUGUUCAAGGCCGUCAAAUUUGGAUAACUUUUUGCUUCCAAAUACACUCAGAUGUACCAAGGAUCUUAAUGCUUCUAGCCCUUUGAUUUCCAUUAGCCAACGACAGUUUUUAAAAUCUAAUUGUGACAACAAUUCCAAACUUGACAAACUUGGCAACUCUUUCAACUUAUCACAUCUGAAGAUAAAAAUCUUCAAUAUUGCCGAGGGAAGCUCUGGAAUGGAUUCCAGCAAUUGGCAUUUGUAAACAGUGAGCUCUUUUAGAUGGAUUAGGUGAGAAAGUUGAGGCAAUGAGUGAUGUUGACAGGUGACUUCUAGAACUGUUAAACAACUAGAAAGCUGUGGCAGUGAAUGAAGUUCGUAACAACCAAUUAACUGAAGGUGUUGUAGAGAAGACAGCUUACCCAUGCUUUUUGGCAGCAAUUGAAGCAUUUUGCAGCCGUUUAAGUCAAGUUUGUCAAGAUGAGAGCAAUUAUCAAAUUUGUCGGGGAAGCCCGAAAACCUUGUCCAACUUAUUUCAAGGAUCUUUAGUGAAUACAACCCAUCUAUAGGAAUUUCCCCUCCUAAUCUCUUACAGUGCGAGGCAUGCAAUUCUUCAAGGUUGCCCAACUUGCCUAUAGUACUUGGCAAAUUACUCAAAUCACUUCUAGCAAUAUCCAAAAUUUUCAAGUUCUUCAAAUCUCCAAUGGAUUCAGGUAAUUCCCGAAUGCCCAUACAUGGCAAUCUCCGAGGAGAUAGAUCCCCCCCCCCCCUCCACCUAAAGAUAGGCGCUGCAAUUUCAUGAGGGAUCCGAUACUCUCUGGAAGUCUUUCCAAAUUGAUGCACAUGCUCAAGUCAAGGGUUGACAAAUUUACGAGAUGGCUAAUUAAGUCAGGAAGUCUAACCAAUGAUUUGCAACCAUGGGCGUGAAGUAUCUCUAACUUCUUCAAAGAACCUAUACAAGGAGGAAUUUCCUCUAUAGCAGUCCUGCAUAUGUUUAGUUCCUUCAAUUCUUCCAACUUAACCAUUUCUUCAGGUAGCACUCGGAGUUUCUCACAUGACGAAAAGUCCAGAGAAACGAGGCCCUUGACUUCUCCAAUAGAAUGGUGAAUUUGCUCCAAACUAUAACAUCUUGCAAGGACUAAUAUCUCUAAAUUUUGGAAGGCCGAGAGAUUAGGAGUAACUUUUAAACAAUGACAAUUUGUAAGAUUUAGAACCUUCAACUCCUUCGCCACCUGCAAAACAAAGUGAUUGAUAAAAUUUCGUUGAGAGUAAGCCAUUAGAAACAAAAGACAUUAUACUCUCCAUCUGACCUUGAGAUGACUCCAACCUUCCUAGAGCUCUGAAACGACACUCCAUGAUAAAUCAAGUAUGACUAAUUUCUCUAGAUGAAAACUAGUAGCCAUGACUCCAAGAUGUCCGUUCCACUUAAGCCAUUGCAACUUAGGAAGCAAGCUUUUGGAAUCUCCAAUCAGUUUCCUAGCACCCACUUGAAGGAAUCUUAAGUUCGGUAGUGUUGCAAAUUGUUCAAUUGUAUAUUCACUGAAUAAGUUGAAUUUGUUGAGACAAAGGGCCUGAACGUGAACUUUUUCAAUUCCCUGCACAAAUUUUGCACCAAAUCAGCUAACAGUGAAUCGAUAUCACUUUGCCUUCGUUCUAUAGAGGCGAAGUGGACGCUCAAAUCAAACCAUAUUUAUUCAUAUAAGUAGGUAUUCAUUUUUUGUCAAUUAAUACUAUCAUGUAACCUUCCCUUGAAGUUAUUGAGAAACAUUUUAUAUAUUCCUCUUGAUAUCUUCCUUUCUUCGGUUUACGCUAUUUCUCCCCCUUUUUCUUCUCUUAUCCGAUUAGACAAUCAGUACAAUAGGGCAUUUCGAAUGAAAAGCAUGAUGGCUCGAAUAACGACUUAGAAUGAAUUUAUACUAACACCAAGUGUUGGGAGUUCAUUGUCUAAACCCAAAAGUUUUCUUUCCUUUAACUUGAUAGGAAAUGCCUACCAUGUAUAGACGCUAAGAACAUUUCAUCCUAAUCAUAUCAAAUAAUAUAAGGAGAAUAAUCUUAGUUGUGAGGUCUAAAAUUGAUUCCAAUUGAAAGAAUUCAGCUGAAAAUAGAGUAGAACAACAAUAGAGGUAACAAUUACCUUAUUUCUCUGUAGUACUUCCAAGGCUUCCUCUUGUGCCCACAAUCUACUUCGAUUCAUAGGCGCAUUGUAAUCCUCUUGGCGAACAAUUUCCCUACCAAGGUCUCUCAAUUGGUCAUGCAUUUUCAGCUCAUGAUUAUCUCCAAUUUUUAUUAGCGACAUAAACCUCAAUAUUUCAAUCCCCAUGCUCGGAUAAAAAUCACAGGCAUCCCACAUGUAGGAUGCAAUUCUUAAGUCAGUUCCAAUAAAGAAACAAGCAAUAUCCAAAAAUAGUUGUUGUUCCUCAUAGUUCAAUGCAUCAUAGCUUAUCCUUAACUUCUCUUGCACUUCCUUAUGUGGUACUUUCUUUUGAUAUUGCUAGUAUGAGUACCUAGAGGGGGGUGAAUAGGUGUCUAAACAAUUUAUCGAUAUAUGGAAGCGAUUCUUAGCAUAUGAUAGAAAGUAAAUUCUCUCUUAAUUAUCAAAAUGAAAUACGAUCGAGGUAGAGAGAGUAAGGAAGAGAAAAUUGAACACAUGAUUUAUAGUGGUUCGACUUAUUCCAAGCCUACGUCCACUCUUCCGCACUGACAGCCCAUCGGCUGGAUUUCACUAUGAUUAAAAGAGAAGUUACAGCACAGCUUUGCCUUGAUUCCACAUUGUAGAUGUUCUACCACACCUCCUCAAGGUCUCUCACAAAUAUAGACUCUCUUUUGUAUACAAGUAUUCGCUCAAAGGAUUUAUCUAAACAAAUAGGAGCUUCAGACUUUGGAAUUCUUCUAUCGCGCACACCUUGAACAACUAAGAUAGUCUUCCUUAUAUACUCCUUUAUGCCAUCAUAACCGUUGGCACUUACCAAAGGAAUUCCUCCAAUCUACCCGUUGGACGGAAUCAAUUAGGAAGAUUGUUCAAGCUAUUAAAGGAACGUGUUGAUAGCCCAUCAAUCCUGUUCGCCCAUACAAUCAGGAUCUCGGUUUCCAUAAGCAGAACCUUCCAAUAAUACUUAGACAAUCACCGGAUCUUCAAUUAUCGAAUCAAUCUUCGAUCAAUCAAAGGACUCCGUUAUGUCUUCUCCGGCCACGAGAUCUUCUCCAUUGAUAAGGUCAAAUCCUCAACGAAACAUUCAGUUCUGGAUAACCUUUCUUCAACGGAUUAGAGACUGUCAAUGAGGAUAGACUUUGAGUCUUGAGUCUGGCUGUCAGGAGGUCUUCAGACUUUAAAUAGUACAGUCUGCAAACCUUCAGACUAGACUGAUAGAAACGUUUUGUCAACUUCAAAAUACUUCAAGAAGAUUUCUCCAACAAUCUCCCCCUUUUUGAUGGUGACAAAACUUUCCUGCAGAUUUGGAUAUCUUUGACCUGCAAAACAUUCCUCAAACACAUAUGCAUAUCUUAUAGAAAUAAAUGGCUAACAGAAUAACACUAGAAUCUGCAACCACAGAAAAUAGGUUAGUCCAGUAUAUGAUUAAGCCAUUCAUAAGAUAUCAAUAUUGAUUAAUAGAAGCAGUCAAGUCCAAGUCUAGUUCAGUUCUCAUCCAGACACAAAAUAAAGUCAAACAGGUUCAAACCAUAAACCUUAAAACAAUCCAACAAACAAAAAGUUUUAAUGAAUGAAAAGUUUUUGAUCAAAUCUUGCAUCUCUCCCCCUUUUUGUCAUCAUUAAAAAGGAUGAGAUGAAGUUAAAAUUGCUUGGGAACACGGACAAGCUGGAAAUCUUCCAUAGACUGAACGAUGCCUUCCAGCUUCUUAAAGUCUUCCUUUAGUUGUGCAAUCUCCUCACUCUUGGCAUUGGACUGAUUCUGAAUAGAGAGGGCUUGCAUUUUAUCAAUUAAUGAAUAGGAAGAAGCUUGACCUUCAUUCUUCAAGCUUUGAACUUCGCAUCCCAAGGCAUAAAUCUGACCUCGCAUCUCCAAGAGAAUAUCCAUGAUUCUGCGAAAAUCUGCUCCAUUAUCAGUCUGAGUACUUGCUUCGGCUCAAUCUGAUGGAGUAAAUGCAGAAAAUGGUAGAUCAGCAUAAUCUUGUAGAUUUGGUGAUGAUACUUCAUGACCUUCUUCUGGAAACUGAGAUGCAUAAACAUUCUCUGGGUCUGCUGGUGAGCGACUGACUCCUUCACUUGCAUCAGGACAUGAAGACUUCACUCCUUUCUCCUGAUCUCCCCCUGUUUUCAUGCCUACAGGUGGAGAAGAGUGUUCUUCAUGUUCUCAUUCUUCUCUUCUUUCUUCUUCUGGUCUUUCCUCCUCUGUUUCUUUUUCAGCUUCUAAUUCUUCUGCUUCCUUCUCCUCUGCUUCCUUUGUCAUUUGUUUCGAGUCUUGCUGUGGAAUAGGACGACUUAAAUUCUUUAAGGCCAAUGCAGAGAGAGUGAUGUCUUCCUCAUCAUCUUCAUCCUCAACGAGGAGAGCUCUUCUUUUCUUGGAUGGAGCAACCAUGGGCUCCUUCCCUUUUCUUUUAGCUGCAGAAGAUAUUUGAUGAGAUUUUGCAGGAGUCUUCUCCUUGAAUUUCUCCAACUCCUUGCUCAGUUCUUUCAGACGCAUUUUGGUAACCAUUUUCAGACCUAACACCAUAUGAUCACAUGGUCGAACACAAAGGAUUUGUGGAGGCUGAAUAUUCAGAUGUCUGAAUAACUUCGUAACAAGGCUUGGAUAAGGGAGUUGACCUAUGUCCUUCAUCAUUGCCCUAUACAUGUGAAACAUCACAGUGUGAGGGAGAGAAAACCUUUUACCAAAAAGAAUGGCAUACAUCAGCUUGGCCUCUGAACUUGAGACAUCAGUCUUGGAAGUUGAUUUUGGUCGGAGGCAAUUAAGCACAAUCUUGUGAAGCAAGAUGUUGUAUGCACCCAUCCUUAAGUAGGUGAUCUUUUCAUCUGUUCUCCUGUCCUUCACUAGUUCAAGUGUGGCCCGAGCAAUGGAAACUUUGUUUGUUUGAUAUCUUCCUCUUUCGACUUCUAACACAUCUGCCAGCAUGUUCAUAUCCACAACAUAGUCUUGGUCUUUUACGUUGAAAGAGAAUCUAUUCAUAUCCAAAAAGCUUAGAUUUGAAUAGAAAUAUGCAGUUAAUUCAGCAUAUGCCUCUGUAGAGUCAGAGCAGAACUUUUCAAGUUGAAGAUAACUGAAUUCUUCCCUUAAGUUUACAUUCACUGCAUCUAGAAAAUCAAAAUCCACACUCCUAGGGUUUAUUACCCCACGCUUCAGCAAUUUUGAGUACAGAUCCUUUUGCUCAUUUGAUCUAAACAAAUCUCCCAUUUUUCCUUGAUUUUCAACCGCAACACCCAUCUUCGGUUGAAAUUGACUGUAUAAUUUAUCAUCAUCAUUCCCAUCCACAGGAUUCGGCCCCCAGUCACGAGGAUCACUUGGGAUAUUUGCAAGGGUUUCCUCAGCCACCCCUUUUCGAGCAAUUCCCAAACUUUCAAUUUUUUUUCAGAAAUAUAUUUGUUCCCAUGUCCUUUUUCUUUAAGAAAAUCAUCAAUGUAAUUCAAGGGAGUACGAAUUCCUUUUAGGGCACGAUAUAACUGGUAAAUAUAAGCAGGCUUUUGAACUCUUACAGGGUCUGCAUCCUCAAUGAUUUCUUCCUGUUGUUGAUUAUCAACUCCUUGAGGACUAGAUGGAGGAGAAUGACGCUGUUGAGAAUGUUGUGGGCUCGCUUGCUAUUCUGGAGCCACUUCAUCUUCAGUAAGAUCGAAGUGCGUAGGUCCCUCACUCAUCCUCUGUGGUCCCCUGCUUGCGAUUCUUGAGGACUUUCUUGAAGAUGACAUCUUUCUCAGUCUUUGGAAGAUUCAUUGCUUGACUUUCCCAGGAAAGAUGACAACCUUUUUGAGGAUUGAACGAAGAAGACAAACGGGAAUGGAGGAUUGAUGCUUUCUAGGGUUUUUGAGAGAAAAGUGAAGAGAAAUCGACAGUGCUCGUUCGGUUAAAAAGAAAAGUAAACGAACCGUCACAAAGGAAAUAAAAAUAUACAUUUUCAAAAUAACUGUCUUUAUCCGCAAAAAUAGCUAUUUCAAAAAUAACUUCCCUUUUUAUAAAUGAAGCGAUGCAAUAUUUAUGUCAAUUAAAUAUAGCAACAAUUUAAACACAGUCUGAUGAUCGUACCUUUUCAAGAUGAGACUCAAGGAAGAAAAACUUACAGUCUGACGGACGUACCAAGACUGUCUUUCAGAUAAAGUCUUGUAAGUCUGAGUCUGAAGGUCUUUAGACUUUGAUAUCCUCAUACCUCAAAAUGUUGAGUCUGGACCGUAUAGACUCAAAUUGAUUUUUCUCCAAAGGCUUUGUGAAUAUAUUAGCCAGUUGAUUCUUUGAGUCAACAAAUUGAAUUGAAACAUCUCCAUUUUGAACAUGAUCUCUAAUAAAGUGAUGUCGAAUCUCUAUAUGCUUUGCUCUUGAGUGGAGAAUUGGAUUUUUGGUGAGGUUGAUAGCGCUGGUGUUGUCGCAAUUAAUCUCCGUGCAUGAGUCUUCAAUUUCAAAGUCUCUUAGCUGUUGUUUUAUCCAUAGAAUUUGCGAACAACAGCUUCCCAGGGCUACAUACUCUGAUUCUGUUGUUGAAAGAGACACAGUGCUUUGUUUCCUUGAAAACCAAGACAUUGUCCCGCUUCCAAGCAACUGGCAAGUUCCCGAAGUGCUUUUUCUAUCAACUCUGCAACCAGCCAGAUCUGCGUUUGAAUAUCCCAGAAGAUUAAAGUCUCCCUUCUUAGGAUACCAAAGACCGAUGCUUGAUUAUGAAGCCACGUAUUUAAUGAUGCGUUUCGCAACACUGAGAUGAGAUUCUCUAGGAUCUGAUUGAAACUGUACAUAUGCAAACACUCAACAAAAUGUCAGGUCUAGAAGCAGUAAGAUAAAGAAGUGAACCAAUAAUGCUCCUGUACAGCUUUUGAUCAACUUUCUUUCCUUCUUCAUCUUUGUCUAUCUUCAAAGAACUUGACAUCGGUAUGUCGGUCUUUUUGCACUUCUCCAGUCCAAAUCUUUUGACAAGAUCAUUAACAUAUUUUUCUUGAUAAAUAAAAGUUCCUUCCUUCAAUUGUUUUAUUUGAAGACCAAGAAAGAAUGUUAACUCUCCCAUCAUACUCAUUUCAAAUUCAUCCUGCAUAGACUUAGAAAAUUUCUUGCACAUAUUCUCAUUUGAAGAUCCGAAAAUAAUGUCAUCCACAUAUAUUUGAACAAGUAAGAAACUUUUGAUUUCCUUUUUGAUAAAUAAAGUCGUAUCUACUUUACCUUUAACAAAACCAUUAUGAAUCAAAAACUUACUUAAUCUGUCGUACCAAGCUCGAGGUGCUUGCUUUAAACCAUACAAAGCCUUUUUUAGUCUGAAGACUGAGUCUGGCUUCUUUGGGUCUUCAAACCCUGGUGGUUGUUCCACAUAAACUUCCUCAUGGAUAAAUCCAUUUAGGAAGGCGCUUUAGACGUCCAUUUGGAAUAACCUGAAAUUCUUAUAACAAGCAAACGCAAGUAAUAGUCGAAUAGCUUCUAACCUUGCUACUGGAGCGUAAGUCUCAUCAUAGUCUAUUCCUUCUUCUUGCAUAUAUCCUUUGGCCACAAGUCUUGCUUUGUUUCGUACGACUUUUCCUUUCUCAUUCAUCUUGUUCCUGAACACCCAUUUAGCUCCAAUAACAGUUUUACCUUUUGGUUUGGAUGUCAAUUCCCAGACAUCAUUAAUGCUGAACUGUCUGAGCUCUUCUUGCAUAGCUUCAAUCCAGCUUUCAUCAGACAAAGCUUCUUCUAUGCUUUUUGGUUCAAUUUCAGAAACAAUAGCUACAACACUAGACUCUUCUCGCCUUUUGGAUCUGGUGCGAAUUCCUUCAUUAAUUUCGCCGAUUAUAAGAUCUUUGGGAUGGCUGGACUUAUGCUUCCAGUUACUUGUUGAUUUGUCUGUUUGAUGAUCUCUCUCUUUGAUUGAAUCUUCAGGAACAUCCUUAUUCUGGUUUUCCAGAGUCUGAGAUGCUUCUUGAGUUGUAAGCUUUGGAAGGUCUGAAGCAGGUUCAGACUCUUCUUGAUGAGUCUGACUUGAUUCAUCUUGUGUUGAGUCUUGAAAUUUGACAUUCAUUGACUCCUCCACAGACUGGCUCUUCUUGUUAUAGACUCUGAAGGCUUUGCUUGAUGUAGAAUAUCCAAGGAAGAUACCUUCAUCUGAUAUUUCUUCAAACUUACCAACUCGAUCUUUUGCAUUUUUCAAUAUAAAAAAUUUGCAACCAAAUACAUGAAAGUAUGAAACAAUAGGCUUCUUAUUUUUGAACAAAUCAUAAGGGGUUUUCUCUAGAAUAGGUCUUAAGAAGACUCUAUUGAUGAUAUAACAAGCUGUUGAAACAGCUUCAGCCCAAAAUCGUGAAGAAAUCUUGCUUUCUAUUAAAAUAGUUCUAGCCAUUUCCUGAAGAGAUCUGUUCUUUCUUUCCACGACUCCAUUUUACUGAGGAAUAUAUGGAGAGGAGAACACAUGAUUAAAGCCAGAUUCAUCACAAAAUUUUGUAAAAUCUUGAUUUUCAAAUUCACCUCCAUGAUCUGUUUUUAUACAAGAGAUAACACAUCCUUUUUCAUUUUGAACCUUUUUAGCAAACUUUUCAAAAUACGAGAAGGUUUCAGACUUACUUGCAAGGAAAUAUACCCAAGUAAAACGGGAGUAAUCAUCCACAAUUACUAGGCAAUAUUUCUUACCUCCAAUACUCUGUGUUCUGGUUGGUCCGAAGAGAUCCAUAUGUAGCAACUGUAGUACAUGAUUAGUAGUGACAUGAUUUAUUGGCUUAAAUGAAUUUCUUACCUGUGUUCCCAAAAUACAUGGAGUACAUGGAUCAGUCUUUUGAUAAGGUAAUCUCGGUAGUCCUCGAACAAGCUGUUUUGUUGAGAUUUUGGCUAACUGCUUCAUGUUGACAUGACCAAGCUUUCUGUGCCAUAAGCUUGCUUCGUCUUGAAUUGAGAUAAAACAUUGCAAUUCAUUUGGUUUCACAUCCAGAAGAUAGAUGUUUCCAUGUCUACGACCCAUGAAAGACUGAGUAGAGUUUUUACUGAUUCCAGAACAUAUUCCUUCUUGAAAGAAGAUCUUGAAACCAGUAUCACACAGUUGACUAAUGCUGAGAAGAUUGUAAUUGAGUCCUUCCACUAAGGAAACAUUACUUAUUGUGAGAUUUCCAAUUUUCACAGUUCCAAAUCCCACAAUACUUCCUUUGCUGUUUCCUCCAAAUGAAACUUUUCCACCAUUUACUUGAGCAAGCUUCAUGAAACAUUUUGAGUCUCCUGUCAUGUGUCUUGAGCAUCCACUGUCAAGAUGCCACUUUACCUUUCUCUUGACGGUGACCUGCAUUUAAAAAAAGAGUCUCAAGCUUUCUUUGGUACCCAAACUUUCUUGGGUCCUUUGGUGUUAGUAACAUAAGCAGUAUUAGCCCAUAUUUUAUUAACAGGUUUCCAAACCAUAGGACACUCUUUUUCAAAAUGAUCCGGACUGUUACAUUUUGAACAUUUUAGAGCAUUUCUACCUACAGAUUUAACAAAAACCUUUUUGAAGUGAUUUUUGUAAAUCUCAUUCGAGAGUCUUUUCUUAAUUCUUUCUUUUACUUUAGGAAAAUCAAUUAAGGAAAUUGUUUCUUCUGUCAUACCUAGACCAGACUUAUUGAAGUAAGGUCUUUGUGCUGAAAAAAUUUUCUCAAGUUUUUCAGACCCUAUAGAAAACUUCUUUGAUAUAUUUGAUAAGUCUGUUUUUAAAAAGGCAUUUUCUUUUAAAAGAUUAUCUUCAUUUUCUUUAAGAUAGGAAACAGACAAGUCUAGACUUUUAACUCUUUCUGCUAAAACAUUUUCCUUUUGUUUUAGAGCUGAGUUUUCUUUUUUCAGUUCGGAAAUUCUUUUGAGAGAAGUCUUAAGACUAAAGCAUAGUUCAUCAAUAUAUUUAGAAACUUUGAUAGGGAUUUUAAAAUUACUUGCAUCAAAAUCACUGUCUGAGUCUGAUUCAGAGUCUGAGUCUGAUUGUGCCAUCAGACAUAGAUUGGCAUAUUCAUUAUCACUUUCUUCACACUCUGUGUCACUCCAGGUUUCGGCUUUGAGAGCUUUUCGAAAUUUUUCAGCUUUUCCUUUCUUCUUCUUCAGAAGAGGACAGUUGGGUCUGAUGUGUCCAUUUUUCUUACAUUCAAAGCAGACUAUGUCUUUUUUUGGUUCCUCAUCAUCAACAGACUUGGUCUGUUGUCUUUGAAAGCUUUGUUUCUUUGAGUUGAACCUUCUUCCUUUUCUAUUCAGUUUUCUGAAUCUUCUUAUCAUGAGAGCAAGCUCCUCAUCGUCCAUAUCUUCUUCAGAAUCUGUAUCAUCAGAAUCAUCAUUUGAUUUUAAUGCAAUGGAUUUCUUACCUUUUGGAUCUUCAUCUUCAUUGAUCCGUUCCACUUCAUAAGAUUGAAGAGAUCCAACUAGCUCGUCGACAGAUAGUGGCAUAAUUCUCUGCGUCUCUCUUAUCGAAGUCUUUAUGUGAUUCCAAUCCCUGGAGAGUCCACGUAGUAGCUUGUUUACCUUCAUGGGAUCAGAAGUUGGUUGACCUUGAUUUUCAAGACCAUUUACAAUAUCUGUAAAACGACUAAACAUGUCAGAUAUAGAUUCUCCUGGUUUCAUUCUGAAGGCUUCGUAUUGACCAAGAAGAAUGUUGAUUCUUGUUUCCUUCACUCGAUCUGUUCCUUCAUAGGUGAUAUGCAAUCUCUCCCAAACUUCUUUUGCUGUACCACAAGAAGAUAUUCUAUUAUAUUCAGUUGGUGAUAAAGCACAAUAUAAGGAGUAAAUUGCUUUUGCAUCGAGUGUUUGUCUCUUGGUUAUUUCUUCCUGAGACAUUCCGCUGGUUUCUUCAGUUUCUUUUCCUCUUUCAGAGACUGAUGCAGUGGUAGGAGUAAUUCCUUUUUCUACAACGUCCCAUUCCAGAGGAUCCUUUGAUCGUAGGAAAGCUUUCAUCUUGUUCUUCUAGAUGUUGUAAUCCUUUCCAUCAAAGUAGGGUGGUCUGGUAUUGCUUUGCCCUUCCAUCAGCCCUGGUGCUAGCAUACUAGCCAUGGAUCUUUUACUUUGAAGUAAAACACUUCAAAUAAAGUAAGUACACAGGCUCUGAUACCAAUUGAUAUUGCUAGUAUGAGUACCUAGAGGGGGGUGAAUAGGUGUCUAAACAAUUUAUCGAUAUACGGAAGCGAUUCUUAGCAUAUGAUAGAAAGUAAAUUCUCUCUUAAUUAUCAAAAUGAAAUACGAUCGAGGUAGAGAGAGUAAGGAAGAGAAAAUUGAACACAGGAUUUAUAGUGGUUCGGCUUAUUCCAAGCCUACGUCCACUCUUCCGCACUGACAGCCCAUCGGCUGGAUUUCACUAUGAUCAAAAGAGAAGUUACAGCACAGCUUUGCCUUGAUUCCACAGUGUAGAUGUUCUACCACACCUCCUCAAGGUCUCUCACAAAUAUAGACUCUCUUUUGUAUACAAGUAUUCGCUCAAAGGAUUUAUCUAAACAAAUAGGAGCUUCAGACUUUGGAAUUCUUCUAUCGCGCACACCUUGAACAACUAAGACAGUCUUCUUUAUAUACUCAUUUAUGCCAUCAUAACCGUUGGCACUUACCAAAGGAAUUCCUCCAAUCUACCCGUUGGACGGAAUCAAUUAUGAAGAUUGUUUAAGCUAUUAAAGGAACGUGUUGAUAGCCCAUCAAUCCUGUUCGCCCAUACAAUCAGGAUCUCGGUUUCCAUAAGCAGAACCUUCCAAUAAUACUUAGGCAAUCACCGGAUCUUCAAUUAUCGAAUCAAUCUUUGAUCAAUCAAAGGACUCCGUUAUGUCUUCUCCAGCCACGAGAUCUUCUCCAGUUGAUAAGGUCAAAUCCUCAACGAAACAUUCAGUUCUGGAUAACCUUUCUUCAAUGGAUUAGAGACUGUCAAUGAGGAUAGACUUUGAGUCUUAAGUCUGGCUGUCCGGAGGUCUUUAGACUUUAAAUAGCAGAGUCUGCAAACCUUCAGACUAGACUGAUAGAAACGUUUUGUCAACUUCAAAAUACUUCAAGAAGAUUUCUCCAACAUCUUUAACCUUUUCAACGCGUCUUGUCAGAAUGCUUGUUUUUUCCCACAUAGAAACGAACCUAUAACCUCGAGAGCUAAGGGAAGCCCUUUGGUAGUGGAUACAACAUCAUGAGAUAGAGAUUCGAAUUCACAUGGAGGAAAAUCCCUGUAAAAAGCAUGUCUACUAAACAAGAUCAAAGAUUGAUCCUUAGCGAUUCCAUUGAGUUCGUAUUGGCAGUUUACCUUAGCAUCAUCAAGAAUAGACUUCAUUCUUGUGGUAAUGAUUAUCCUACUUCCCCUCUCGAACCAGUCUUGUUUCCCAAUUAAAGCUUUUAGUUGACAAAGGUUAUCCACAUCAUCCAAAAGAAUUAGGACUUUCAUAUAUAUAAAUCUAGAUUCCAUCAUCCUAAUUCCUUCAUCCUUGUUUGGCACUUCAACCUUUCUUCCUAGUAUAUCACAUAUUAAUUGACUCUGCAAACAUGAAAUGCCCUUGCGCUGUGAGGAUUCUCGGAUAUCGGCAAUGAAACUAUGAUGCUGAAAUUGGUCAAAGAGCUUAUUGUAGAUGACCUUGGCUAAAGUUGUCUUACCAAUACCCCCCAUUCCAUGAAUACCAACAAUUUGGGUAGCAUUGCGGUUAUCAUCCAACAAUCUUAGAAUGUCCGCCACAGUAUUAUCAAUUCCAACAAGUUGUUCCGUAACAACUAACUGAAAGGCCUCUUUUAGCUUGCUCAAAACUUUUCUAAUGAUUAUUCUUACCAAUUCUCCUUCGCGGCUGUUUAUAAAGCAUUUGAGCUAAAACGAAUUAGAAGAACAAUCAUAUCCUAUUAUAUCUCAUUAUUACCACACUACAACAUACAACAGUAAAAAAGGCAAGCACUUGCACAAGCAAAGAAACACGAUAGAAUAGUCUCCUCUACAAGCAAGAUCCCGUUGAAAGAAAUUAAAUAAGGUUUAUGUAGAAAUGGAAAUACCCGCUAGCAGUUCUCUCGGAUUCCCAUCCCUUUAAGAAAGCCACUUCUUGGAGUGCUUGUUUCCAUUUGGCAACAUCUCCCUCAUAAUACUUCCCACUUAAAUGGGAGAAAAGCCUUUCCAAAACUCCCUUUUUGGUAUUGCACAUCAGCCGGUUCAACCCGGUAAAAUAUGGGCAAGACAACUUGUCCAGCGCUCUUCAUGCAGUCAAUCAUUUGCACGAGCUCUUGAAGGCACCAUUUGCUCGAAGCGUAGUUCCGAGAGAAAAUCGGGAUGGAGAUCUUACUGUUCUUAAUGGCCUGAAGAAGGUUGGUGCUGAUCUUCUCACUUUCGCAAAGCUCAUCGUCAUCUCUGAACACGUAGAUUCCAGCAUCGACGAGGGCAUUGUAGAGGUGAUCCACGAAGGUUUUGCGAGUAUCCAUACCGCAGAAGCUCAAGAACACAUCGUAGUUGUUGCUUCUUGUUGAAGUGUGGGACGAAAUAGACGCACCGGUAUCAUCUACUUUUCGACGUCGGCUCAUUUUGUAAUUCUGGAAAGAAAAUUGAAUGGGAGCAUAGAGACGAGACGCUUCACUUCUACUCCUUUAAUAACUCUUGAACGGAGUUUCUCUGUUAGAAUAAAAGAAAAAAAUGCCGAGAAGAUGACCACGCGCGGCUGUAUUUUUUUGGGGCAAAUUCUACGUUAAGAUGCACGUUGACCGAGAGACAACAGAUAAGACAAAUUCAUACAAAAAAUGUCCAAAAUGCAUCAACAAAGUGCUAAUCGCCAUGUCACUUUUUUUUUUUUUAUUCAAAAAACCCCGAAAGCCAACAGCCGGCGAGAAGAACCUGGCGCUGACGCAAGUUAGCUACCACACUUCAAAAAACCCCAAAAGCCGACAGCCGGUGAAAAGAACCUGGGGCUGAUGCAAGCUAGCCACCACACUUACGCCAGCGGUUAAGUCACCAAGUAUCGCCUCUGGGAUUUGAAGUUGACACAUUUUGUGGGAAGUACAAAGCUCAAGCCAACUAUGUCACCUUUUUAUUUAUGCCCAAUAAUAAGUCAAAACGUGUUAGCUGAGGUGGAAUAAAAAAUAAAAAAUUGAAUUUUCUCUUCUUCCUCUUCCUCCGUCGAUCUGGUUGUCCUCCGUAGCCGUCGGCGCUCCCUCCUCUGUCCCAGAGCACCACCCCGUUCGGCUAGCAUCUCCACCAGUUCCGGUGUCACUUGUAGUUGACCCAGGCUACCUCUUCGUGCCUCCAGAUCAGCAAGCCUAGCUCGUCCAUGGCUCGCGAGGCUUGUCCAUGGCCGUGAGCCUUGACGCCGACGUCGAGGUCUAGACGGCCAUGAACUGCGCUCCGGCGUCAGCAAGGCUUCAGAUCUGGACUAAUUGGGUCAUGCUCGGGAAGAAAGCAUGGAUUCCGCUCCCUCUGCUUCAGAUUUGAACUGAAGUCGCGCUUUCUUCGACAGCGGAUGCGGCCCUAAAGGCAUGGCUUCCAGAUCUGAAGCUGCCUUCGGAUUUGGCCAUGACUGGCUCGUCCAUGGCCGUGAUGGGCAAGGUCGAGAUCCCGACGGCCAUGGACGGAGCUCAUAUAUCAAGAAGAAAAACAGGCUUGGCUUGAACGCAGCGGUGGUCGCCUGGUCACGGCGCCGGCGACUCCGCUGGUGGCAAUGGCCGGGGAGGAGCGGAGGUCGGCGGCUAUGGCUGGCGGAGGAAGAGAGAGCAGAGGUGAAAGAGAGAAAAUUUUCACUUAAAUUCCACGUCAAUUGCUGACAUGGAUAUGUGAACACGUGUCAAGAUAUCAUUGGAUACGAGUAAAAAAUAAGUCACGUAGGAUGCUGAUGUGGUGGUCAUAUUUUCUCAGCUAGGGGAGCUUUACAGAUAAAAAAUAAAGAGAGAGAGAUAAGAGAAAGAAAUAAAAAAGAGUCAAGAGUGCUUCUAUGAGCUCAUUUACUCCAAGCCUUUUGUGCGCGUGCGAGUGAGAAUAUUGUCCAGUUUGCAAUGCUCAUUGUUCAAGUUGGAUACUCAUGUCGAUCACCUAACUCGUGAUAGUAUCAUAUCGAUAUAGCGAGAGGCAUGAACUGAAAUUUUCUUUGGUUAGAAUAGAGAGCAGAAAAAGGCUGGAAUCAAAUGUCAUAGCAAUUUUCUGCAGAUUUUGAAAUAGGACGCAUUUAUGGUCUUGAUCGACAAAACUUACUUCUCUGAGUUAAGCCAUUUCUAGAGAAUCUCAGUUACUCCGGCAAGAGUGUUUUGAUCCUGAAGCAAGGGCUCCAAGUGUUGUUGUGCUCUACAGACCUCUACCUUCCCCUGCAUCUACUGAGUUUUGGACUUCAGAAGACAGCGGUAGACUCUUGACAGGGAAAAGAAGAAUAAUUGCUGCGAUGGAUCAUAUGAGGUGCAUUUCAUAGGAAACGAGAAGUUAUUGAACAGCUUUUGCUCUUGAAAUGAACAACUUCUGUUUUUCAUCAUUAAUAUUAUUCCACCAAUAAUGUUAAUUUUCUUUCAAUAGAGGUUAUAUAUGCUGAUGUCAAUAAGAUACAAGACUACUUACUUUUGUAUUCCGAGAGGAGUUUUCGGCUGUCAAUAUAUGUUUUUUUUUUUUUUUCCAAUAUUUUGACAGAAGUUCCAAAAUUAUUCUCAGUUUCUUGUCGCAUUAUAGAUGAUCCACAUAAGAAAUCAUCACUUUCUUUCUUUUUCAUAAAUAUCCUUCUAAAAUGAAAAAUAAAACACUAUUUACUCAUGACACUGAAAGUCCAAUAAAGAAUCAUCAAAAACAAAUUUCAGAAAAAAAAAAUGUGGCCUUAACACGUACAACGGGUGUGAUUUGUCUUUUGCAAAGUAAAUCAGCCCUCCGAAAAAGCAGUGGAGGAGGUGGUUUGAAGUAAUCUCAACUGAAGGAUGGGAUGAGAUGAAGAUAUCAAUUUGCCAUGACAAAAGUUAAUCGACUGAAUCUCGACCGGCCUAUUCUAUUUCGAUAAUCGUGUUGACAUCUCAAGAGUAAAUUGAGUUAUUGAGUUGCGCCAUGAAUUUAGGGACGGUUAAUUCACGCUCUUAGCUUACUACCUAGAUUAAGUGAAUCCAUGUCCUACACUACAUACAUGCUAAAGUAAUUGAAGAACAUGCAAUGCUUCAUAUUUUAUGAGUAUUUUGUUAGGAACGACCCAAGACAGUACUUGAUAAACAACCAAAUAAGGACCUUUGGAAUUCCCAAUGCAUUGAUUGCCCCUCGUGAUUUGCACAAUCUAUGCUUAGAGAAUUGAAUAUUCCCUCCUUAAGUAUACUUAAUAAGUGAUUCAAGAGUAUUUAUUAAUAAGACCUAUCUUACAAAGAAUCAAUGCACAUAGAAAUCACAUUACAUUGAUCUAACAUGCUUAUAUGUGAGAUAUGUGAAUCACAUGCUAUGUACUAUCCACAGAAUGAAAUUAUAUACGCGGUUGACAUCAAGUGAAGUCAUAUACCAUCCACUGUCUCAUAACUCUUAAAACACAAAAAAAAAAAAAAAAAAAAUAAAAAAAAAUCCUUUCUAUCUUGUGAUUCAGAAAUCUAUUCAAAGAUACUUCCAACUCAAAGUAUGGCACUUCAUUGGCCGAGCUUUCUAGAUUCGUUAGGGCGGAGCAAUGGAGUCAUACUCUAUGCGCAGCUUCUACAGUAUACCGCUCAGGAAACCCCUGCAAACAGUUUAAAAGGUUUCGGUACGUAAAAUAGCUAAUUGUUAUGGGAUGGCAAGUCACGAGUCAUGAUUGAUUCUUACCAUAUUCCUGAUGUGUUCUUGACUUGAUUCUGCAAAUUAUUCACGAAACAUAACAUACGGUCGGUAAGCAAAGAUGAGACUUGGAGGAAUUACAAAGGGAAGGAGACAAAUGAAGACCAUACUAACCCCGGUUCCCCAAGGAAGGCAUCGUUGACUUCAUCAGUCCUUGGCCUUCCAUUGAAUGUUGAAAGCAAGAUGCACUCCUCCUUCCCGGACGGCCUGAUUGACUCGUUUGCACAAUUCAUAAGGGUAGGGGUAGGACAUCCUGCAAUGACGAUUUCACAUUUUGUUCAAACAUCAUUGAAGACUGAAACAACGCCAUCUUUGAUUGACAGAAAUAUGAAGCUCUUUGAAGCUGAGAGAUAUUGAUAAAACGGAUAUAUUAAGCAAAAGCAUAAACAUCAGCCUCUCUACAUAUUUUAAUGACAUAUCACGUAAAGUUUGAUUCUUGCCUCCGUGAAGAAAGAAUCCAAGAUUCUUACUUUCAACGUAGUACGCGUUCAGGCUCGGCUAUCAGGCAAACCAAUAGACAGUCGAAGUUAGUCAAUAAUCUCCUUGAAAAUAAUAGAUGAACGAGUUCUGGAGAGUACUGAUGUCUUGACAUCUACACCAUUAAUGGAUAAGAUAAUGUUUUGCACACCAUGAAGAAUCAAAUUUUCAUGCAUCCAGAAGAAAAUGCAUACAUCCACGCACAAUUUUCAUUCUGAGAAAGAUUAGAAAUUCUUCUGCGUUGUCCUUUUUCUUUGGCUAGGCAAGGGGAUGGUGAAAGCAGUAAAGGCAAGACCUCUGGCGGUAAGGAUGGGCCAUGCCCAAUGCCUAUCCUCGAUCAAUUCUGGUUUAAUUGCAUGUAAUUUCAAUCAUUCCUUGUGCUCCAACAGUACUUCUGCACGGUCAUGGCUAUAGAAUAUGAGGUAUGUGUCAGAGAUCAGGCAAAUUUACCUCAGAGCACCCAUAAUUGCGUAUGGAGUUCCAGCAAAAUAGAGAAGCCGGAAGAAAUAGCGAUUCUCAAUGAUGCGGCAUACUGCAGUCUCUUGUCCUGUCCCAUAGUCUUCAAAACAAGUUUCAAGGUAAAGAGAAUCAGUUCAAAUCUAAAUCCAUCUUUUGUCCACAUAUUAACAUUGUACUUACCAAAAAAAAAACAAAAAAAAGAACACUGUACUUACUUGCAUGAUACCACUGGAACCUGGUAAAUCCUGGAGGAAAAGAGCCAUGCUCGUUAGAAAUAGGCAAAAUAUUAGUUGCAGACUCUGCUACUACACUGUAUGCAGGUCUGAAGGCAAAAUGUUAAGCAACGGAUUAAGGAUGAAUGGACAUGCAAGCAUUAGUUUGAAGAAACUGCAUAGUUUCUGGGGUCAUUUUAUACAAGAUCUUGGCUAAUAUUUGUUUGAAGAAUAGCUUACCCCUAGAUUCUGUAAAACAAAGGAAUAUGAUUGAGAGAACAUUUCGAGUACUCUCUGUUUUUUUACUGAGCAUAUAUUGACCAGCUGAAGGAUAUAGUCGCAGCCUUACUCGUAGGAAAUUAUGGGACAGAAAAAUGGAUAUUUUUCAACCAUUUGUCAGUUAAAUACUUCGCUAAAGUGCAAUUAGUGUCAUAUCCCAAGCAAUGAAAGCUUUCAACUUAACAGAAAUUUCAGGACAAACCUUAAUCCUAGGAUUGAUGAGCAUGACCAGACGCAUACCAACAGAUUUAGUCAUGCCUCUGAGAUUCUGCAAUCUCAAAAUCAAGUGGUGCUUAGCCAUGUAGUUGCGACUUGAGUCAUAAAAUGGACAUAAUUGCAAAAGGAUUAACGCAACACUUGCUAUCAAGCUCCUUACAUCGAUGAUACAGUUACCCACAGCAUUUUGAGGAGCCACUAAGAUAAAAAUGUCAUCUUGCUAGAUUUAAGGCUUAGUAAAGUUAUCCAUCGUGAAAUAAUUGCCCAAUCAAAUUGUUCUGAAAAGCGAUUCAAGCUAAUGAUAUGAAAGCUGCUAUGUAUCAGAGGUGGAAUAGCAAUUUAACGUCCAAUGCAUCAAAUGCAAAGGCCAUCAAAGCAUACGAGAUUGAUAUAUGAGACAGACAUUAAAAUUAUAAGCCCCCAAGAGUUAAAAAAGAAAGAAGAGAAAAUUCUUGGAAGUCCCACUCCAUGUAUACUUGGAUUCUUUUGAGUCUACAUAUUUGGAUCCUGCAAGUAUUAUGGCAACAACCACUUCAUCCGCCAAUGACCAAGAAGCAGUCAAUGUUAUGAUCGCCCUAAUCUUUUGACAGGCAUAUGUCACUUAGAUAAACUCAAUUUCCCCGACCAUACCUAUAGAUUCAAUCUUGACAAAGGUUCCUGAUGCAACAUGAUCUCCCCAAUCCAUGAACUCCAAUAUCUUGCGACUACCAGCAAGCUGCAGUGGCAUUCCAGCAAGAGCACCUUCUCCCUGGAUCCUUGAACACAAACCCGCAUGAGAUGAUUUUCUAACAAAUACGAAUAUAAACGGGUAACCAAUACCUAAUCUUAACGUAGUAGAGGCACAGGAACUAAAGUCAGAUACACCUUAAGACGUUUUCCAUCGUCAGCAAAUGAAAGAGCAAUAACCCUGACAAGUUCCAUCAGAGUACCUAUUCUAUAAACAUCCUGUCCAGAUUGCAUCACUAAAAUAUGGUUAAAUUCCUAUUAUCUGUUUGACGAAGGACCAAAUGUUCUCAUAUGAUCAUCUUACCAUUUCUGGGUUUAGCUCUGGGAUAAUGAUUUCUACCUGAAAUGUUUACAAGAAGAGCCGCAUGAGUUUGGCCUUGGGAGUAACAUGCAUAUGUUGAUGAGGAAAACCAUAAUAAGAUGAAACAGGGUAAAUCUGUUUGAGUAGGAGGUUCCCCCUAAAUUUCCAGCUUUGCAUUCUUUUUCUAUCAGUAAAAAGAGGAUCAGCUUGAUUUUAAGUAUCAAAAGUCAUGUGUCUGGAACUAUAAGAACAAGUAAACAUAUAGAAAAUAUGACCCCCAUAGGAUAUCUAAAUCUCUCGUUAGUGUCUUUCUUCGAGUAAUUCAGGCCAAUGAAAACAGCAUUAAAGAUGAAUAUCCUACCUUCAGUCUUGUUUUUUCAUCAUAUAUGACUCUCUGUGUAGCUUGAAGCACAUCAUCAUAGAAUAUAUGUCCUGAUUUCUCGAGCGAGGAAUGUUAUUCAACCUAGUAGGCAUUCCCCGCCAUUUACCCUGUAGGAUGCUAAAGCAAAAUAAGGCAAGAAUAUAGCACAGAUAUUAAUCAAGACUGCAGAUCCACGAUGUAGCUUUCAAACUGGGAACAAGGAUAAAUUAUAGUAUGAUGAAGUACCUCCUUUUUAGUUGCCUGAUUUGGUGGCAGUGAGAUCCCAGAUAUAGGGUUCCCUGAAAGAAACGUCACAGGCUUACAAGACAUUGGGAUUGAGAAACUCGACAUUUAUGAAUUGCAACAUCAACCCUUUCUUCGAUAGAUCCCUCACAAAAGAACUUGGGUCAAAUUUCUCAGCAAAGACAAUAAUUGUCCUGCAAUACAUUCCUUACCAGUCUUUCCACGGUACUUCCAUUAAAUUAAGCAAAACUAAUCCUUUACAUUGUGCUUCUAGAAGAUUCCAUGAGAAGUAACUCAUCCUUCAAAUCAUUUAAGUUGGCAUACUUUCCUAAGCUUUCCUACUUGCUAAUUCUACAUCAACACGUCCUUGUAGUCAAUGAGUGGAAGUCACCAUCCUUCAUUUCUUUCUAAAAAUUGGUGGCCUCCCACUUCAAGGAAAAGAAAAAGAAAAAGAAAAAGAAACUCAUGAUUGAAGCAUCAAAGUAGAGUGAUCCCAAUUGCACUUCGGAUGAUAUUACUCAUACCUAGUUUUGUUGUUAUUGCUUUAUCUUUUUGGACCCUCGAUAGCAUUGAGUCUACUUCACUGAAAACCACAUUUUUGGGGCGAUUUCCAUCAAUCUGCACUCUCUAAAAUGCAAUUCAUGACAGGUCAUCAGCAAUUACCAUACAAUUCUUGAUGAGAAGUGGAAGAAAGAGUCAGUCGAGAGCAAGUGAGGACCUUAUUCAUUACCCUCAAGUAAGUCGAUAAAAUAGCCUGAGCAUUUUGCUUGUAUAUUUCCAAGCGUGGCUUCACCUAAUACAAAAUCAAAAGUGAAAUUACACAAAGGAAAUGUCGGUAGAUGACCAAAAGUAGCUAAUCAGGCCUAUGCACUAAUUAGAAAGUGACUGUUUUCACUAAGCAUAAGCAGCAAUAUGUGUCAUAAACUCCUACUCACCAAUAGUACUAAAGCUUGCCAUGCGGAUUUUCUGAUUGUGCAGUGAUUCUGGUGCGAGCUGAAGAUAAUGUUUGACUGAGAUGAAAAUUGGAACAAUUAAUAGUGGUCAACACCAAUCAAAACAACCUAAGUACAAUAUAGGAUAUAGAAAAUGAAAAAUUCAGGUGGAAAUUGAUGACAUAUUAAGUGAAACUAUUUUGAGUGGAAAAUGAUUAAAUUCGACCUAAUUAUUUUGCGAAAGGGAAAGGAGACAAAAAGAAGAAAAUUAUCGACCUUUUCCUCUCCUCUUUCAUCAGAAAAUUAAAAAAUUUGGAUAUUAAGUGUUUUGGCCCAAUAUGAAAAAUACAAAUUAAUGAAAAGAACUACAAAACCCAAAUUUAAGUUGUAAGGGUCCGUUCGGUUCACGAAAAUUAUUAGUGUUUGUUUUCAAUGUAAAGGAAAACUGAAAUUUUCCGAUUUUCUCCCUGAGGCAUCGCGUCAAGUUCCAGGCCAGAUCGACCACCUAAAAAAUAAAAAACAUCCAGGCCAGCUUCUCCAUUCCUUGAACUAAUUAAAAGACAAAAGUACAACAGUGGGCUAUCGAGAAAAAUCGUCUUACCAAAUUUACGAAACGCUGAUGAAAUUGGCAACACAUCUCGACAAAGAAUAGCGUGGCCUGCUUUUAUCUAACUUCGGAAGAAAACGCGAAUCGUUCCGACAUCGUAGCUGAGGUGCUCGACUCAUCGAAGCAUUAUUUUCAUCAAUCAAUUGCUUCUCUGCCGCAGCGGUGCAAUGAACAUACGAGAUUCCACUAAGUUGCAUCGCUGAACGUCUUUUUAGAGUCUAGACGCCUUGGAGUCCUGGAGCUCUGUGAUCUCCACAAGUUCAUGCGAAAUUCAACCCCAUCGUUCCAUUAGAUCUUCAAAAUUUGACAGUCGUAGACAAUUUUUGGAGGCCUUGCAGUUGAAUCCCAAACACAUGUCGGACUCUUUAUGCCCUGAUCAUCACGAAGCUUCGAACAUCCUUCAAUGUUCAAAUAUUUCAGGUUAUCGAAGCACGAGAGGUCUGGUAAUGUUUCAAUGGAUGUGCACCCCUCGAUAUCCAAGCGUUCCAAGUUUUCCAAUCUCUCGAGACCUUUAAUUUCAACUAGAUUGUGGCAGUAUUUAGCACGUAAUUGCUUCAGAUGUGUUAAUUGUGAAAGGUCUGGUCUUAUAAGGUACUCACAGGAACAUAUAUCCAGCUUCUCCAAGUUUUUCAAUCUGUCAACGCCUUGAACUUGAAUCAGAUCAUCAUUCACUAAGGAAAAACUCAUAUCCAAGUAUCCCAAGGACUCUGCAUGUUCAAGGACGUCAAAUUUGGAUAACUUCUUGCUUCCAAGUACACUUAGAUGUACUAAGGAUUUCAAUGCUUCCAGACCCUUGAUUUCUGUCAGCUCAUGGCAAUUUUCGAUUUUUAAUUGUGACAACAAUUCCAAACUUGACAAACUUGGCAACUCUUUCAACUUAUCACAGUUGUAGAUAGAAAGCUUCAAUAUUGCCGAGGGAAGCUCUGGCAUGGAUUCCAGCAAUUUGCAUUUGUAAACAGUGAACUCUUUUAGAUGAAUUAGGUGAGAAAGUUGAGCCAAUGUGCGAUGUUGACAAGUGAUUUCUACAUCUGUUAAACAGCCAGGAAGCUUUGGCAAAGAUCGAAGUUCGUAACAUUUAAUUAACUGAAGGCAUUGCAAAGAAGGCAGCUCACUCAUGCUUUUCGGCAGUGAUUGAAGCAUCUUGCAGCCGCACAAGUCGAGUUUUUCAAGAUGAGAAAGUUUAUUGUAUGUGUCAGAGAAGCCAGAAAUGCUCGUCCAACUUAAUACAAGGAUAUUCAGUGAAGACAACCCCUCUAUAGAAAUUUCCCCUUCUAGAUUCCUGCAUUGUGAAGCAUAUAAUUCUUCAAGGUUGCCCAACUUGCCUAUGGUAAUCGGUAAAUUCUUCAAUUCACUUGCAGUAAUAUCCAAAAUUUUCAAGUUCGUCAAAUCUCACAUAGAUUUAGGUAAUUCCCGAAUGCCCGCACCAUGCAAGUAUGGUUGGUGCAAGUAUGGUCGUAUCAAUCGUUUCCGUUGCUCAAUUGCAUUGUUGGGGAAGCCAUUACUCCCAUAAUUAAUUUUGGUAAGCCAGAGUAAUGUAUAAUCAAUCCUCUUACCAAGUGUAUACCGUCCACUACCUAGUGAUAGGCGUUGCAAAUUCACAAGGGAUCCGAUGUUCUCUGGAAGUCUAUCUAAACUGAUGCACCCACUCAAGUCAAGGGUUGACAAAUUUACGAGAUGGGUAAUUGAGUUGGCAAGUCCAACCAAUAAUUUACAAUCAUGAGCGUGAAGUAUCUUCAACUUCUUCAAAGAACCUAUACAUGGAGGAAUUUCCUCUAUAGUAGUAUCGUCUAUGUUUAGUUCCUCUAGUUCUUCCAAUUUGCCCAUUUCUCUCGGUAGCACUCGAAGUUCCUUACAUCCUGAAAAGUCUAGAGAAAUGAGGCCCUUCAUAGAACCUAUCCAUGGAGAAAUUUCCUUUAUAUGAGUCUUGCAUAUGUUUAGUUCCUUCAGUUCUUUCAAUUUGCCCAUUUCUUCAGGUAGCACUUGGAGUGUCGAACAGGCCGAUAAGUCCAAAAAAACAAGGCCCCUUACUUCUCCGAUAGAAUGAUGAAUUUUCUCCAGUGAAAUACAAUUUGCGAGGACUAAUAUCUCUAAAUUUUGGAAGGCUGAGAGAUCGGGAGUAGCUUUUAAACAAAAGCAACCUCCAAGUUUUAGAACUUUCAACUCCUUCGUCACCUGCAAAACAAAAUGACUGAUAAAUAAGAAUAAGCUGUUAAAAACCAAAAGACAAGACAACAUGCUCUCCAUCUGACCUUCAGAUGACUCCAACCUUCCCAAUCCCUUGAAACUGUACUCCCUGAUAAAUCAAGUAUGACUAAUUUUUCUAGACGAAAACUAGUAGCCACAAAUUCAAAACAUUUAUCCAAGUGAAGCCAAAGCAAGCUUUUGGAAUCUCCAUUCAGGUUAGCAACACAUACUUGAAGGAAUCUUAAGUUUGGUAGUGUCUCCAAUUGUACAGUAGUGAAUGUACUAUUUAAGAGGUAUUUGUCAAAACAGAACGCCUGAACUUGAAGUUUUUCAAUUCCCUGCACAAAUGUUGCACCAAAUCAGCGAAUAGUUGAUUGAUAUCACAUUGCAUUCGUUCUAUAGUGGUGAAGUUGACACUCAUAUCAGACCUGAUUUUAUCAUAAUGCAAGUAUUUUUUUUUUUGGUUGUGUUAAUGGAUAAUAUUUUGUAAUCUUCCCCUAUGAUAUUAUUGCGAAACAUUUUAUAUAUUCAUCUUAACAUCUUCCCUCCUUUGGUUUGUGCUAUUUCUACUUUCUUCUUCUCCUAUUCGAUUUGAAACUCAGUGUAAUAGGUCAUUUCAAGGGAAAAAGCAUGAUGGCUUGAAUAACCACUUAGAAUGAAUUGAUACUAACACUAGCUGCACAAGCAACUACUAACGAGUAGGGAGUUCAUUGUUUGAACCUAGAAGUUUUCUUUCCUUAACUUGAUAGGAAAUGUCUAUCAUGUGUAGAUGCUAAGAACAAUUCAUCCUAAUCACAUCAAGGAAAUAACAUAAGGAGAAUAAUCUCGGCUGUGAGGUCUAAAAUUGAUUCCAAUUGAAAGAAUUCAACUAAAAAUAGAGUAGAACAACAAUAAAGGUAACAAUUACCUUAUUUCUUUGAAGUACUUCCAAGGCUUCCUCUUGUGCCCACAAUCUACUUCGAUUCAUAGGCGCAUUGUAAUCCUCUUGGCGAACAAUUUCCCUACCAAGGUCUCUCAAUUGGUCAUGCAUUUUCAACUCACGAUUAUCUCCAAUUUUUAUUAGCGACAUAAGCCUCAAUAUUUCAAUCCCCAUUUUUGGAGAAAAACCACAAGCAUCCCACAUGUAGGAUGCAAUUCUUAAAUCAGUUCCAAUAAAGAAACAAGCAAUAUCCAAAAAUAUUUGUUGUUCCUCAUAGUCCAGUGCGUCAUAACUUAUCUUCAGCUUCUCACGCACUUCUUUAUGUGGUACUUUAUUUAACUUUUUCAAUGUGUCUCGCCAUAACGAUUCAUUUUUCCCACACAAAAACGAACCUAUAACCUCUAGAGAUAAGGCAAGCCCUCCAGUAGUGGAUACGAUAUCACGAGACAAAGAUUCGAAUUCAUGUGGAGGAGAGUCCCUCCUAAAAGCAUGCCUACUAAAUAAGAUCAAAGAUUGAUCCUUAGCCAUUCCAUUGAGUUCGUGGCAGUUCACAUUAGCAUCAUCGAGAAUAGACUUUCUUCUUGUGAUAAUGAUCAUUCUACUUCCCCUCUCAAACCAGUCAUCUUUCCCAAUUAAAGCUUUUAGUUGAUUAUGGUUAUCCACAUCAUCUAAAAGAAUUAGGACUUUCUUAUGUUUAAAUCUAGAUUCCAUGAUCCUAAUUCCUUCAUCCUCGUUCGACACUCUAUCGUCUCUUCCUAGUAUAUCCCUUAUUAAUUGCUCUUGCAAACAUGAAAUGCCCUUGUGCCGCGAGGAUUCUCGAAUAUCUACAAUGAAACUACGAUGCUGAAAUUGGUUGGAGAGCUUAUUGUAAAUGACCUUGGCUAAAGUUGUCUUACCAAUACCCCCCAUUCCAUGGAUGCCAACAAUUUGGGUAGAAUGGUGGUUAUCAUCCAGAAAUUUUAGAAUAUUUGCCACAGUAUCAUCAAUUCCGACAAGUUGUUCGGUAACAACCAGUUGAAAGGCCUCAUUUCACUUGCUCAAAACUGUUCUAACGACCAUUCUUACCAAUUCUCCUUCGCGGCUGUUUAUAAGAUUCGAGCUAAAAUGAAUUAGAAGAACAAUCAUAUUUUGUUGUAUCUUAUUAUUACCACACUACAGCUUACAAGAGCUAAAAAAAGCAAGCACAAGUUGUGAAACACGAGAUAUAAUAGCUUUCUCUACAAGCAAGAUCUAGUUGAAAGAAAUUAAAUAAGGUUUGUAUAGAAAUUGAAAUACCGGUUAACAAUUUUCUCCGAUUCCCAUCCCUUCAAGGAAGCCACUUCUUGGAGCGCUUCUUUCCAUUUGGCAACGUCUUCCCUAGAAUACUUCCCCCUUAAACAGGAGAAAGCCUCUCGAAAGCUCCCUUUUUGAUGUUGUACAUCAGCCGGUUGAACUCGGUAAAAUAUGGGCAAGAUGACUUGGCCGGCGUUCUUCAUGCACUCAAUCAUUUGAACGAGCUCUUGAAGGCACCCUUUGCUCCAAGCAUAAUUUUGAGAGAGAACUGGAAUGGAGAUCUUACUAUUCUUAAUGGCCGCGAGAAGGUUGGUGGCGAUUUCCUCACCUUCGCAAAGCUCAUCAUCGUCUUUGAACACGCAAAUUCCAGCAUCGACAAGGUUGUUGUAGAGGUGAUCCACGAAGGUGUUGCGAGUAUCUGUACCUCUGAAGCUCAAGAACACGUCGUAAUUGUUACUUCCUUUCGAAGUGGCGGAUGAGCUAGGCGCACCGGUAUCAUCUGCUUUUCAACAUUUGCUAUCUUUGUUGCUCUGGACAAAAUUGGAUGCGAGCCAAGAGAAGAGACGUUUCAUUUUUUGCUCCCCCAACAACUCUUGAACCGAGUCUCUCUGUUUGUAUGAAAGAUUAAAAUGCCUAAAUUCGAGCUCAGACCAAGAAGAUGACCAUGCGGAGCUGAGUUUUUGACAAUUUCUGCUUCAAGAUGCACAUGGGUCAAGACGGAAGAAAAACAAGAAGAAGACGAAUUAACGAAGAAUGACCGAGAGAGAGUCACUGCGUGAAGAGGCUCGACUGGUGAAGCGGGCCUCCUUCUGCUUUUUGACAAAUUUCAUUUGUCGUGUGUUUCGAGCCACGGCGCCCUUUUCUUUUGGGUAAACUGGAUGUAGCUGUGGCUAGUGUUGGAAUUUUGUUUGUUAAAACAAAAUGAGUGCUUUUUACUUUGUCCCACAUAGAAAAGGUGGGAGCAGGAGGGUCAAUUUAAAAAUGUGGGGUUUCCCUUGCUAUUUAUUUAUUUAUUCUAUAUUUUUAGUUCAAAUGUUGCCUUUUAAUUUGAGAAUUUCGGAAAUGAAACAUAAAUGAAAAUUCGAAAUUCUAUUUAUUUAAAAAAAUUUAUUCCGAAUUUUAUUUGUGUCUUUUCAAGACAACCAUUGGAAAAUUACUUAUUCGGUUUUAAUUUUUCCGAAUGAUUGCAAUUGUUCGUUUUCGACUUCUUCCGAAGAGUCGCAUUUGUUUAUCCGAACAAUUUUCCAAAGACGUGUUUGUUCGCAAUUUUCACGAAGAGUUGCAAGACUGUUUCAUAUAUAUACUUGUCAUUUUUCGGAAAGAAAAGUGUGGUCAUUUUUCGAGUAUUCUUUCUGAAAAACUGCAGCCAAUUUUUCGAUUGUUUUACUAGAGAGACCCUGGAGAAAUACUAGAAUUGCUAUUUAGUAUUCUCAUCCGAGACUUUGUUGUAUCCUGGAGGAUUUUUGCCGGUGACCAUUAGCAACGUUGUGAGGCAAAUAAAUCCUUAAAGAAAGUGAUAUCACGCCUCAAAGUCCGAAUUGUUUUACUAGAUCCGAUUUCAUUGUACUACCCAAUUUCGAAGCAUAUUUUACCAACAGCUAGCGCCCACCACUUCGUCCCAUAAAUCGGUGGGGGAAGGACGUAGCGUCCUGUUCCACCUCAGACUCCACUGACACUUGGCCCACCUUAUCAACUUGCUCUACUUGAGGAAUCUCCAGUUGUUCGUCGCUUAUCAUUAAGCUAAUUAGAUUAGAAGGGAAGCACUGUUCUGCUGAAGACAUUCCUUUUUCCUCAUUCUUAUCGGCAAAUCGGUAUUCUCAUUGUAUAGGCUCACGAACCUUUCAUUGAAUGGAAUCAUAUGAUUGUCAUUUAUAAACUGUGCAUGUUUAUCAUCUCAUCUUAUGCUUACUUUGCUUCAAUGUAGGUCACAACUUACUAAGGACUCCGUUCCCUAUAUUUAUUAUAGGAUGCUGUUCGGCUGGAAUCAAAUUCUCUUUUUUCACGUUAUGGCUUCUGAACACGCUCGACUUGACCAAGAGCAUCGCCCCCUCAUAUGACACGCGUCGCUCAUUGAAUGAGGGAAAAUGACGUGACACCACUUGCUUAUAUAAUAUUUUUUCCUUGAUAUUUGUUGAUGUCUAAAUUUGGUCUUUUUACUUAUAAUUUAAUCACGUUGAAAAUUAGGAAAUAAUUUUUAACCCUUAAACAAAAAAAUAAUUUUCAUUAAAUUGCAUCGCUUAUGGGCAUUAGGAAUAUUUGCAUUACUAAUGAAAAUUAUUAAAUUUUUCAAAAAAUCAUCAUUAAAAAAAAUUAUUAUCAAGAAUUAUUAUUACUGUUAAAAAAAGUGGCGGACUGAAUAGGGCCGGGUCAGAGCUGGGCCUGCCCGGCCCUCCUUUUCUCCUUUCCCCCCGGCUCGGGCCGGCCUAACGUCCCUCUUCCCCAGGCCCGGAUUUUUAAUUUUUUAUUUAUCUUCCUUUUAUUUCUCCCCGCCUGGGCCCAGGCCCAGCCUCCUUCUCCUUUCCCCCAGCCCGGCCUCGUUCUCCCUUCUUCUUCUCUCCUCCACAUAAGAAAUUAUCACUGUCCUUCUUUUUCAUAAUUUUCUUCUAAAAUUCAAUAAAUACCAGUCGUUUAACAACACUCAAAGUCUAGUAUAUAAUAAUCAAACCAUGCUAAGUACACUUUAAAGAAAAUAUGUGAUCUUAACACGUGCUACGCAUAUGACUAGUCUAUUGAAAGGUAAAUCAGCCCUCCAAAGAGGUGGUGGAAGAUGUUGAUUGAAGUUUAUCUCAAUUGAAAAAUGAGAUAAAAUGAAGAUAUUAAUUUACUGUGACAAAAUCAUGGCACAUCAAUAAGAUGAAAUCCUGUUUGAUCAACUUGAAUCUUGAACAGCCCAUUUAAUUUCCAUAAAUAUGUUCAUAUCUCAGGAGUAAAUUGAGUUACUUAGAGAUGUGCCAUGAGUUUAGGGCUGGUAAAAUGGCACUCUUAGCUUAAUGCAUAAAUUAAGCGAUCCAUGUCCUCAACCGUAUAUAUUUUAAGCAAAUUGAGCAGAUGAAGAACAUGCAAUGCUUAUAUUUUAAGCAUUUUGUUAAGAAGGGCCCGGGACAUACUUGAUAAAUAACUAAAUAAGGAGUAGGACUGACUGUCCCUCUUGAUAUUCACAAUUAAAACUUUAAAAAUUGAAAUUUUCUUCAUUAAUUUUGCUUAAUGAGUGCUUUAAAGACACUCGUUAACAAGAUCCAUAUUAUAAAGAAACAAUGCACACAUAAAUCACACUUGCAUUAAUUCUAACAUGCUCAUCGGAGAGACAUGUGAAUUGGUAUGCUAUGUACUGUGCAUAUGGAACCAUGUUGCGGUUAGCAUCAAGAGAAUUUUUGUACCAACCGUUGUCUCGUAAUUUAUAACAGCACAAAAUCAUUCAACCCGAUUAUUCGGACAUCUAUUUAAAGAUACUCUAUACACAGAGUGGAAUUCAAUGGGCGAUCUUAUAGAUUCAUCGGGGCGGAUAAGUAAAGUCGUACUUUAUGCGCAGCUUCCUGUCUACUGCAGUAUACGGCUCAAGAAACUGCUACACACAGUUUAAGGUUUUGAUAUUUAGAAAAGCUCAAGAUUAACGAAUGGCAAAUCACACGUAGUGAUUGGUUCUUACCAUAUUCUGGAUGUGUUCUUGACUUGAUUUCUGCAAGUGAUUUACAAAACCAUAAGAUAUGAUCAAUAAGUCAAGAUGAGACUGGGAAGACAAAGGGUAGGAGAAGAUUCAAGACAAUACUAACUUCGGUUUCCAAGGAAGGCAUCGUUGACUUCAUCACUACUUGGUAUUCCAUUGAAUGUUGAAAGCAAGAUAUACUCCUCCUUCCCAGAUGGCUGAUCGACUCAUUUGUACAAUUCGAAGGGUAGGGGUAGGACAUCCUGCAAUGAAGAAUUCAUAUGUCAUUCAACUUCAUUGAAAACUGCAGCAACUCCAAUUUUGAUUGACGCAGAGAUGAAGCUCUUUGAAGCUGAGAGAUAUUGAUGAAACUGAAAUAUGAAGCAAAAGCAUAAGCAUUCGCCUCUCGACACAUAUCAAUGAUAUAUGACCUAAUGUUCGUCUGAUUCUUGCCUCAGUGAAACAAGAAUCGACGAUUCUUACUUCCAACAUACUACGCGUUCAGGCUCAGCUACCAGGCAAACCAAUAGACCUUUGAAGUUAGCCAACAAUCUCCUUGAAAGAACAGAUAAACAAUAUCUGGAGAGUACCAAUGUCUUGACAUCUACACCAUUGAUAGAUAAGAUAAUGUUUUGCACACCAUCGAGAAUCACUUUUUCAUGCAUCCAGAAGGAAAUGCAUACUUCCACACGCAACUUUCAUUCUGAGAAAGCUUAGCAAUUCUUCUGCGUUGUCUUUUUUCUUUGGCUAGGCAAGGGGAUGGAGAAAGCAGAGAAGGGAAGACCUCUGGUGGUAAGGACGGGCCACCCCCAAGGCCAAAUCUUGAUUGAUUCUUGCGUUAUUGCAUGCAAAUUCAAUCAUUCAUUGUGCUCAAACAGUACUUCUGCACGGCCAUGGCUCUUUAAUAUGAGGUAUGUGUCAGAGAGAGGGGAAAUUUACCUGAGAGCAUCCAUAAUUGGGUAUUGAGUUCCUGCAUAAUAGAGAAGCCGGAAGAAAUAGCAAUUCUCAAAUGAUGCAGCAUACUCCAGUCUCUUGUUUCGUCCCAUAGUCUUCAAAACAAGUUUCAAGAUAAAGAGAAUCAGUUCAAAUCUAUAUCCAUUUUGUUUCCCCAUAUUAACAUUGUAUUUACUUGCAUGAUACCACUGGAACUUGGUAAAUCCUGGAGAAAAAGAGCCAUGCUCAUGAGAAAGAGGCAAAUCAUUUGUUGCAGACUCUGCUAAAACACUGGAUGCAGGUCUGCAGACAAAAUGUUAAGUGAUGGAUUAAGAAUGGUAAUAACAUGCAAGCAUUACUUUGAAGAAAUUGUUCAGUUUCUUGGGGUCAUUUUAUACAAGAUUUUGGCUGAUUUUGUUUGAAGAAUAGCUUACCUCUGUGACUCUGUAAAACAAGGAAACAUGACUGAGAGAUGAUUUCUACUAGUCUCUGUUUUUGUACUGACCAAAUAAUGACCAGCUGCUGGAUAUGGCUGCAGCCUCACUUGUAGGACAUUAUCGGACAGAAACGUGGAUAUUUAUCAACAUUCAUCAGCUAAAUAUCUCGCUAAGUGCAAUUAGAGUCAUAACUCAAGCAAUGAAAGUGUUCAACUCAACAGAAAAUUUCGGGACAAACCUUAAGCCUAGGAUUGAUGAGGAUGACUGGACGCAUACCAGCAGAUUCAGUCAUGCCCCUGAGAUCCUGCAGUCUCAAAAUCAAAUGGUGCUUAACCACAUAGUUGCGGCAUAUGUCAUAAAAUGGACAUAAUUGCGAAAGGAUUAAUGAAACACUUGCUAUCAAGCUCUUACAUUGAUGAUACAGUUACC